UACGGAAGGCAGCAGUGGGGAAUAUUGCACAAUGGGCGAAAGCCUGAUGCAGCUAUGCCGCGUGUAUGAAGAAGGCCUUAGGGUUGUAAAGUACUUUCAUCGGGGAGGAAAAAACAAAACUAAUAAUUUUAUUUCUUGACGUUACCCGAAAAAGAAGCACCGGCUAACUCCGUGCCAGCAGCCGCGGUAAUACGGAGGGUGCUAGCGUUAAUCAGAAUUACUGGGCGUAAAGAGCACGUAGGUGGUUUUUUUAAAGUCAGAUGUGAAAUCCCUGGGCUUAACCUGGAACUGCAUUUUGAAACUGAAAUACUAGAGUAUCGUAGAGGGAGGUAGAAUUCUAGGUGUAGCGGUGAAAUGCGUAGAUAUCUGGAGGAAUACCUGUGGCGAAAGCGGCCUCCUAAACGAAUACUGACACUGAGGUGCGAAAGCGUGGGGAGCAAACAGGGAUUAGAACC
rnacentral:rRNA from 1 species